GACGAACGCUGGCGGCGUGCUUAACACAUGCAAGUCGAACGAUGAAGCCGGAGCUUGCUCUGGUGAAUUAGUGGCGAACGGGUGAGUAACACGUGAGUAACCUGCCCUUGACUCUGGGAUAACUGCUAGAAAUGGUAGCUAAUACCGGAUACGACCCUCGGAGGCAUCUCCAGGGGGUGGAAAGAAUUUCGGUCAAGGAUGGACUCGCGGCCUAUCCGCUAGUUGGUGAGGUAAUGGCUCACCAAGGCGACGGCGGGUAGCCGGCCUGAGAGGGUGACCGGCCACACUGGGACUGAGACACGGCCCAGACUCCUACGGGAGGCAGCAGUGGGGAAUAUUGCACAAUGGGCGCAAGCCUGAUGCAGCAACGCCGCGUGAGGGAUGACGGCCUUCUGGUUGUAAACCUCUUUUAGUAGGGAAGAAGCGAAAGUGACGGUACCUGCAGAAAAAGCACCGGCCAACUACGUGCCAGCAGCCGCGGUAA
rnacentral:rRNA from 1 species